rnacentral:rRNA from 1 species
GACGAACGCUGGCGGCGUGCUUAACACAUGCAAGUCGAGCGAGGCCCCUCCUUCGGGAGGGUGUCCUAGCGGCGAACGGGUGAGUAACACGAGGGCAACCUGCCCCCGGCUCUGGGAUAACUCCAAGAAAUUGGGGCUAAUACCGGAUAUGACCGCUGACCGCAUGGUCUGGUGGUGGAAAGAUUUAUCGGCUGGGGAUGGGCCCGCGGCCUAUGAGCUUGUUGGUGGGGGAGUGGCCUAGCAAGGCGACGACGGGUAGCCGGCGUGAGAUGGUGGCAGGCAGCACUGGGACAGGGACACGGCCCAGAGUCAUAGGGGAGGCAGCAGGGGGGAAGAUGGGGCGGUGGGCGGAAGCCUGACGCAGCGACGCCGCGUGGGGGAUGACGGCCUUCGGGUUGGAAACCUCUUUCAAGAGGGACGAAGCGAAAGUGACGGUACCUGCAGAAGAAGCACCGGCCAACUACGUGCCAGCAGCCGCCGCAG